UACAGAGGUCUCAAGCGUUGUUCGGAUUCAUUGGGCGUAAAGGGUGCGUAGGUGGCGCGGUAAGUCGGGUGUGAAAUCUCGGAGCUUAACUCCGAAACUGCAUUCGAUACUGCGGUGCUUGAGGACUGGAGAGGAGACUGGAAUUUACGGUGUAGCAGUGAAAUGCGUAGAGAUCGUAAGGAAGACCAGUGGCGAAGGCGAGUUUCUGGACGGUAACUGACGCUGAGGCACGAAGGCCAGGGGAGCAAACGGG
rnacentral:rRNA from 1 species